rnacentral:rRNA from 1 species
CCUACGGGUGACAGCAGUGAGGAAUAUUGGUCAAUGGGCGAGAGUCUGAACCAGCCAAGUCGCGUGAAGGAUGACUGCUCUAUGGGUUGUAAACUUCUUUUAUAUGGGAAUAAAGUGUUGAACGUGUUCCCUUUUGUAUGUACCCUAUGAAUACGCAUCGGCUAACUCCGUGCCAGCAGCCGCGGUAAUACGGAGGAUGCGAGCGUUAUCCGGAUUUAUUGGGUUUAAAGGGUGCGUAGGUGGUUAAGUAAGUCAGUGGUGAAAGUUUGCGGCUCAACCAUAAAAUUGCCGUUGAAACUGGCAGACUUGAGUACAGUAGAGGUAGGCGGAAUGCGUGGUGUAGCGGUGAAAUGCAUAGAUAUCACGAAGAACUCCGAUUGCGAAGGCAGUUUACUAAACUGCAACUGACACUGAAGCACGAAAGCGUGGGUAUCAAACAGGAUUAGAUACCCCGGUAGUC